rfam:Triticum aestivum genome assembly, contig: Triticum_aestivum_CS42_TGACv1_scaffold_130715_2BL
UAUAUAUUCCUUCUGUCCGAAAAUACUUGUCAUCAAAAUUGACAAAAAAGAAUAUAUCUACAACUAAAAUACAUCUAGAUACAUCCCCUUUUAUUCAUUUUGAUGACAAGUAUUUCCUUACGGAGGGAGUACAAA